UCGGGGCGUAGCGCAGUUUGGUUAGCGCGCCCCGACCGUGUCGGGGAGGUUGGAGGUUGAACCCUUCCCGAG
rnacentral:tRNA from 1 species